rnacentral:ncRNA from 2 species
UACAUUUGUGCCAGAUUUGGUAAUCAGUAUAUUUCAUAUCCUGAUGAAAGGGAACUCGGUGAAAAUCCGGGGCUGUACCUGCAGCUGUAAUUCCUCGUGUUAUAUCGGUUAAAUAUUCUAUGCCACUGUUCUUUAUCCUAGAAUGGGAAGGCUUUUAACCGGAGGAGAGCCAGAAGACCUGCCAAAAGACAAAUAAACAC